CAGUCGCCACGGGAAUACGAGGGGAGCUAGCGUUGUUCGGAAUUACUGGGCGUAAAGCGCGCGUAGGCGGCUUUUUAAGUCAGAGGUGAAAGCCCGGGGCUCAACCCCGGAAUUGCCUUUGAAACUGGAAAGCUAGAAUCUUGGAGAGGUCAGUGGAAUUCCGAGUGUAGAGGUGAAAUUCGUAGAUAUUCGGAAGAACACCAGUGGCGAAGGCGACUGACUGGACAAGUAUUGACGCUGAGGUGCGAAAGCGUGGGGAGCAAACAGGAUUAGAUACCCCUGUAGUCCCUGUCUCUUAUAA
rnacentral:rRNA from 1 species